GACGAACGCUGGCGGCGUGCCUAAUACAUGCAAGUAGAACGCACAGUUUAUACCGUAGCUUGCUACACCAUAGACUGUGAGUUGCGAACGGGUGAGUCACGCGUAUGUAACCUGCCUUGUAGCGGGGGAUAACUAUUGUAAACGUUAUCUAAUACCGCAUCAUAUUGAUUAUUCCAUGAUUAUUGAUUGCAUGAUGCUAUUGCAUCACUACCAGCUGGUCCUGCGUUGUAUUAGCUAGUAGGUCAGGUAACCGCCCACCUAUGCGACGAUACAUAGCCGACCUGAGAAGGUGAUAGGCCACAAUGGGAAUGAGAAACGGCCCAGACUUCUACGGGAGGGAGCAGUAGGGAAUCAUCGGCAAUGGACGAAAGUCUGACCGAGCAAAGACGGGUGAGGGAAGAAGGUUUUCGGAUCGGAAAGCUCUGUUGUAAGAGAAGAAAGGGUGUGAGAGUGGAAAGUUCACACUGUGACGGUACCUAACCAGAAAGGGACGGCUAACUACGUG
rnacentral:rRNA from 1 species